rnacentral:rRNA from 1 species
UACGGGAGGCAGCAGUGGGGAAUAUUGCACAAUGGGCGCAAGCCUGAUGCAGCCAUGCCGCGUGUAUGAAAAAGGCCUUCGGGUUGUAAAGUACUUUCAGUCGUGAGGAAGGUGUUAAGGUUAAUAACCUUAGCAAUUGACGUUAGCGACAGAAGAAGCACCGGCUAACUCCGUGCCAGCAGCCGCGGUAAUACGGAGGGUGCGAGCGUUAAUCGGAAUUACUGGGCGUAAAGGGCACGCAGGCGGUUAAUUAAGUUGGAUGUGAAAUCCCCGGGCUUAACCUGGGAAUGGCAUUCAAGACUGGUUAGCUAGAGUCUUGUAGAGGGGGUAGAAUUCCAUGUGUAGCGGUGAAAUGCGUAGAGAUGUGGAGGAAUACCGGUGGCGAAGGCGGGCCCCUGGGACAAAGACUGACGCUCAUGUGCGAAAAGCGUGGGGAGCAAAACAGGGAUUAGAUACC